CUGGCGGCGACCGGCGCACGGGUGCGUAACAGGUGUGCAAUCUGUCCAUAGUCGGGGAAUAGCCCAGCGAAAGUUGGAUUAAUGCUCCAUGUGAAGAGAAGCCGCAUGACUUUUCUUUGAAACGUAAGGACUAUGGGUGAGCACGCUUCUGAUUAGAUAGUUGGUGAGGUAACGGCUCACCAAGUCGACGAUCAGUAGGGGUUCUGAGAGGAAGGUCCCCCACAUUGGAACUGAGACACGGUCCAAACUCCUACGGGAGGCAGCAGUGAGGAAUAUUGGUCAAUGGGCGAGAGCCUGAACCAGCCAAGUCGCGUGAAGGAUGAAGGUUCUAUGGAUUGUAAACUUCUUUUGUCCGAGGGUAAAAAGGCCACGUGUGGCUUCUUGCAAGUAUCGGACGAAUAAGCAUCGGCUAACUCCGUGCC
rnacentral:rRNA from 1 species